AAUCUUUGUCUUGCAUAGGUGUAGGUGGGCAGGUCUGUGGCCUGUCUGCCUACUCACUAGCAGACACAUAUGCACAGGGCCGCAAGGCUCUGAUGUUUACGCUUGUUUGUUUGACAGAUUUAUAUGUGACUAAAACUUGACAACUUUUAACAAUGGAUCUCUUGGCUCUUGCAACGAUGAAGAACGCAGUAAAGUGCGAUAUGUAGUGCGAUUUGCAUGAAUCUGUGAGUCAUCUAAUCUUUGAACGCAACUUGCGCCUCUCUGAGGCAUGUCUGUUUGAGUGCCGCAUACAUCAAUGCAGCAAUGCGAUUUGACUGUUGUCCCCGGACUCGGUCUAAACGUAGCCAGAUAGUGGCCUGAGUAGGCUAGCCCGAGUGAUAAGCAUUCUGUGAGGUAGUCUAGGUGGGCUGCCCAAUAUCUAUCUAUUUGGCCUCAAAUCAGGCAAGACUACCCGCUGAGCUUAAGCAUAUCAAUAAGCCGUGGA
rnacentral:rRNA from 1 species